rnacentral:misc_RNA from 1 species
AAUAGACUAAUGAAAUUAGAUGAUUAAAAGCAUCUAAGGAAAUCAAAACUGAGAAAUCGUGAUCACAUUCAUUAUAGGGACAGAAGAAUUGUCAAUCUAGGAUUAUGACAAAUGUAAUGAUCUCUAAGAGGAUAAUUUUGUAUUGUCCAACUAAAGCUAUGUAUCAAAAGUACAUAUUAUUUAAUCAACUUCUUAUUUAGUGAAAUUGAUGACAUAUCUUAAACAUGAA